CUACGGACUCUACGGGAGGCAGCAGUGGGGAAUAUUGCACAAUGGGCGCAAGCCUGAUGCAGCCAUGCCGCGUGUAUGAAGAAGGCCUUCGGGUUGUAAAGUACUUUCAGCAGUGAGGAAGGUGGGUAUGUUAAUAGCAUACUCAUUUGACGUUAGCUGCAGAAGAAGCACCGGCUAACUCCGUGCCAGCAGCCGCGGUAAUACGGAGGGUGCGAGCGUUAAUCGGAAUUACUGGGCGUAAAGCGCAUGCAGGUGGUUUGUUAAGUCAGAUGUGAAAGCCCGGGGCUCAACCUCGGAAUUGCAUUUGAAACUGGCAAACUAGAGUACUGGUAGAGGGGGUAGAAUUUCAGGUGUAGCGGUGAAAUGCGUAGAGAUCUGAAGGAAUACCGGUGGCGAAGGCGGCCCCCUGGACAGAUACUGACACUCAGAUGCGAAAGCGUGGGGAGCAAACAGGAUUAGAUACCCUGGUAG
rnacentral:rRNA from 1 species